AUGAAAUCUGUGAGAAUCUUUAGUUCUAAGACCAUGUUUGCAGUUAAACAUGAGCAGUUAUCACCCAUUUUCCUUGCAGCUUGUCUACAUGUAGCCUGUGUGGUACAGCAGAAAGAUGCCAGGCAGUGGUUUGCUGAGCUUUCUGUGGAUAUGGAGAAGAUUUUGGAAAUAAUCAGGGUUAUUUUAAAACUAUAUGAGCAGUGGAAGAAUUUCGAUGAGAGAAAAGAGAUGGCAACUAUUCUUAGUAAGAUGCCAAAACCAAAACCACCUCCAAACAGAUUUUGAAAAUUUGGUUCAUGUUUGUCUACAAAAUUAGAACUUAAAACACCUGGAAUCAAACUAUUUCAGAGUGAGCAGCCUAUUUCUCAAUGUUAGUAACUGGAAAACUACAGUGAUGUCAUAAAUAAUGUUAAACUCACUUCUGGCAUGUACCCAUUAGAAAACAUAAUCAUAGUGAGUAACUUGUGAAACUGUAUCAAAGACAGUUAUGUUUCUCUUGUUGAGUCAUCAAACUGACAUUUAACUGUCUAUAAUUCAGCAGUACUUGGGAGGUGGGGGGAAGGAGGAAAUAAUCAAUGAAGACUGGAUUUCCUGCCUUUCCACUUAAUGAGCAAGAGCUGAAGCAACCAUAUUCCCUUGAUGAGUGUCAGCACCUCCAAACCUCUUAUCGUAUGCAUCUCCAUUCCAUGCUAUUGAAUUAUUUAAAUAUAUAUAUACAUAUAUAUAUAUAUAUCAAUACAUCCUCUACUUUUAAAUCAAUGACUUGAUCUGAUGCACAAGCAAAGAAACACUGCUCUAUUCCUAUACAGCGGAAAAACUGGCUAUUUGGAAUUUGCUGAGAGAUAAUGUACGGUACUCUUAAGGAAUAUUUAAAGAGUCAUACUGACUGAACCUGGUUUUUACCUUGUGGCCUAACCUUGGAAUAAUCUGUAAUUUUGUUGCUUUCACACUGGUAAAUCUAACUUCACCUGGAUACUUCCCACAACAUACAUUAUAGGAUACAGCCCAGGCUCUUUAAUUAUUCCUAAAAUGCCCUUCAGUGAGGUACUGUGAGGUUUAAAUAGUUAAUGUAUGUACAGUACAAUCAAUAAUUAUCUAUUUCUACUUUUCCUUCGUGGUUUACACACACUGACCCUUCUGAAGGGAAUAUUUUUCCCUGGUUUCUAUAUGGAACAUGUCUAUGCUCUUUUAAGAUCCAGUUAAAAGUUAGUUGUCACCUCUCCUUUAAUAAUACUGCCUCUAGUACCUAUUCUAUUAAAAUACUUGUUCAUAUACACAAUGAUGAUUACUGUAGAACUGUUUAUAACAGCAAAAACCUGGAAACCAAGACGUUCACCAGUGAGAGGUUAAAUAAACUGUAGUCUGUGGAACACAUGUGCAGUCAGAAAGCUUCUGAAUACCUGAGACAAAGUAACAAAAAAGUAUCCACAGGUCACAUUUACAUGUACAGUAGCUCUGCAUGCUGUGUGCUAUUAAUGUAAAUAUUCAUAUAAGUGUUUAGAAAAAUGUGUGCCAAAUCAUAUCUCUGGAGAGGAGAGUGGAUGGGAAGAUGUAUAAAGGGGGAUUUAUAGUGUGCUUCUGUGUUUUAAUGAGAAUAUGAAAUAGUCAUAGUAUUAAAAUAUUCGUGUAAUAUUCGCAUAACUUCUAAAAUGAAAAAUUAAACGUUUUCUAACAUUUUCUCCAACUCAGGCAGAGUCGGUUUUCCUCUCGUUGCAGUCUUGCUCCACUGGGCUGUGUGUAGUGCUUGUUUACUUGUGUCUUCCUUUUUUUUUUUUUUUUUUUGCGGUACCAGGGAUCAAACUUGGAACCUUGCGCUUGUGAGGCAGACAGCGGCACCACUGAGCUAAAUCCCUGGCCCUACUUGUGUCUUCUCCCCCAGAAAUAGAAGUUCUGAGCUUCAGGGGCUGGGUCCCCAGCAGGAGGCCUGGCAGAUGCCCAAUAGAUGAUUGCUGAAUAAAGGGAAAAGGAGACAACACUUUGUAUAGAAAAGCUCAUCAAAAACCACAGCGAAUGUUAAGCAGGAGCGGGA
rnacentral:lncRNA from 1 species